AGGGACGGUUCGCGGUCCAGCCACGUUCCUCUGUUCCGUUGUUUCUACGAGGGUUUCUUGGUUGCUACCUCGACUUUUUUCGUCCUAAUUAUUAUUCUCCGUCACAUUCUUACAGAAAGAAUAAAAGAUAAUCGAAUAUACAGAACACUUAAAAACAAUUUUUUGAAGAUAAUUAAGAAUGGAUAUAGAAACUAUUUCCUCUACAUCAUUCGUCAAUUUCGAGAUAGUAAUUGUUGAUGAAAAUUAUCGAUACUACGAUCGAUGGAAUCGAAAAUAAGCUAAGUUCAGCUUGGACUACACGAAGAGUUGAAUAUUUCUAAAAGUUUGAUAAACUUUAUAUAAAAUACACGAAAAAAUAGAUUUUUCGAUUUUAAUUGGAUAAUAGAAUUUUACUUUUUUCAUUUAUUCUUUUUUAUACUACUAACAUAAAACAAAUUUGCUAUAUUUUUCAAUAGACGAUGCAGCACAAUGUGCACAAUCGAUAAUCGAUCUAGUUUAAUUAUACGAUCAGUAUGUCGAAGUCAAUGGCCUCGAAACAAAGAACCGACACAAAAAGAAGAUAACUAUUCAAUUGUUAUCCACCUUGAAAGAUAAAAAUUCAUUAUACUUCGAAAAUUAUAUUUAUUAUAUUAUUACUAUAUUAUAUUUCGAAAGAAAGAAAAAGAAAUUGUUCCAAGCCAAACUAUUCCAGUUUAACAAUCAAACAGCGCAACAUCCUCUUACAGAAGACAAGGUCGCGUUCAGGACUCCCCUCGACUUCCCUCGUUGCUCUAUUCCUCUCGUUUCAUCCAACAGGCUAGGAGUUAGAAGAGAGGGGAUAUUAAAGGUCGCCGCAACGUGGAGAUCAAUACGAAACCUACAUACCUACCUUCCCUAUCGAGCCAAUGGGAAUGUCUAAAAUGAUCCUUCUCCUUAAAUCUAUCAAAUUUUUCUCCUUCUAAGGUUUCAGAUAUUCAGAUACAAUGGACUAGCAUGAAUCAAUUGAAUACCUAUAGAUUUUUAAUAGUCAAUGUCAGUCAGUGGUGGCCAGCAUGGAAACUUAUUAUCCGUAAUCGAUACGUCUGAAAAUCGAUCGGUUUCAAGGAACGAUUAUUGUGUUCGAGGAAGAGGAACGUAUACGUAUAAUUAGCAACAACGGCUUCAACGAGAAAGUUACCGAUUGAAAUUGAAAGAAAAAAUGAAGACAACUUUGCAUUGGGAUUAUUAUUAAAAAAUAUUCUAAAAAUUCUAUCCCACCAAUAUAACACAUUAUCAUCAUUAGAAGAAUUAUGUAAUGCUUUGAGUUGGCCGGUCUGGCUGAGUUGAUGAGGAAAGUUGCGUCAAUGGCCGGGAGGAAAUUACUUUUCCUCGUCCGUUAUUUUUAUCCUGAGAAGUGUUUUAUGCCGUUUCCACAGUUAUGGUUUAACUGUGAACCUGUCUUUUUUUCGCUUAACUCUUACGGAUAGUUCGUUUUAAUCAAAAUUAAAAUAUAUAAUUGUAUAUU